GAUGAACGCUAGCGGCAGGCUUAAUACAUGCAAGUCGAGGGGCAGCACAGAUAGCAAUAUUGGGUGGCGACCGGCAAACGGGUGCGGAACACGUACACAACCUUCCUUUUGGUGGGGGAUAGCCUUUGGAAACGGAGAUUAAUACCCCAUAAGAUAUUGUGACCGCAUGGUUAUGAUAUUAAAGAUUUAUUGCCAGAAGAUGGGUGUGCGUAUGAUUAGGUAGUUGGUGAGGUAAAGGCUCACCAAGCCGACGAUCAUUAACUGGUGUGAGGGCAGGACCAGCCAAACGGGAACUGAGACACGGGCCCCACGCCUACGGGAGGCAGCAGUAAGGAAUAUUGGUCAAUGGACGGAAGGCUGAACCAGCCAUGCCGCGUGGAGGAUGCAGGUCCUCUGGAUUGUAAACUUCUUUUAUAUGGGGCGAAAAAGGGCCAUUCUUGGUCAACUGACGGUACCAUAUGAAUAAGCACCGGCUAACUCCGUGCCAGCCGCCGCCGUAAGAC
rnacentral:rRNA from 1 species